CGUGCAUUCCAACACUGUAUUCCUGCCCUGCACCCCACUCCCUGCACUACCCCUUAAUGAAAGAGAUGAAGAAAGGCUUCCUAUCAGGGGUUCCCGUUGUGGCUCAAGGAAUUGAACCUGACUAGUAUCCAUGAAGAUGCGGGUUUGAUCCCUAGCCUUGCUCAGUGAGUUAAGGAUCCAGCACGGCUGUGGCUGUGGUGAGGGCCGGCAGCUGCAGCUCCAAUUAGAGCCCUAGCCUGGGAACCUCCAUAUGCCGCAGGUGCAGCCCUAAAAAGAAAAAAAGAGAAGAAAAAAAAAAGAAAGAAAAAGAAAUGUUUCCCUUCAAAGAUUUGGAGUUUUGUGUGCCCUUGGGCAUCAGGUCCGGGGAAAGUCCAAAAGGGAAUACUUAGAACGUGAGGCUAAUUAGUUACCUACCAGGUACUGUCCUAAUACUUUAUGAGGGACUGUCUCUUUAAUUACCCAGCCUCCCCACCCCCUAGAAUGAAGGUACAUGCUAUUAUUGUCAUCCCUGUUUUCAUAGAAGUGGAAACUUAGGCUUGAACACCUUAAAGUAACUUGGUUACAAUUACACAGUUAGGGGCAGCCUGAAUGGUCUGGCCCCAAACCCAUGCUUGCAACUACUCUGUCCCGCCGCUUCCGUGGGACACAGCCCUGUUGGCAUUGUCCCCUGAUGGCACAGCAUGGGUUGUCAACCAAGCGUGCUUGUGGAGCCCUGCCUGAUGUGAGCCCAUCCCUCCGUGGGGAAGCCUGCAAUCGAAUUAAGAAAAUAACCUAAUAAUAUACAAUGGCACACGUAUCGACACCCUCUCCACCAGAAUGUAUUCAUUUCAAGGCUGAAGCAGCCUCGUGGCUGCAGGAGAAUCACACGUUCCACUCCGUGGAGGCUUAGCAUCCUUUUGCCAACCACCUCGCCUCCCUCUGACAGAAGUGCUAGUUCGAAGCAAAGGUUUUGUGAACAUUUUUCUUGAAGCAAACCUUGUCUGGCCAUGAAUUAACCACAGACCAUUUUGAGAGGCGCUCCCAUAUUUACUGCCCCCUAUUUGCAGUCCGAUUCACAGGUUCCAGGCACUGCACACGGGUUCAGUUAACAAGGAAGAAGGAAACUGAUAAAGAUAUUGUUAAUGGAUCUCUUUGUGCAUAAAAAGAACUCGAAUCUUCCCUCCCACAUGCUGUCCUGAAUUCCCCUUUUCCUCCUUCUCAAAGUUUUACUUUUUCUCAGAAUGUCUGUGUGUGCCAUAUGACAGUGAUUUUCUGUGGUAAUUGCUUUAUUCUUCAAUAAGAACCUUUACAAUAGCGAACUCCUACAACACUUAUGUGUAAAUUAGGGCUGUUCCAAGGCAAAAAAAUCGAACUUUGGAAUAUACAUCUGCACCAUUUCUCCCUCCCCUUGAGUGUGAGUAGAUUUUAGACUGAUUUAUAUAUAUAUAUAUAAAUCUCCUCCUUUAAAAAAAAAUCAUUCUUUUUCUGCAUCUCUAGUUUCAUGCAUUUGGGUUUACAAUGGGAUCUCAGAGAGGACAGACCAUUAAUUCAUUGCAAAAUAGCUCACCAAGAAAGAGUACAUUUCAUUCUGUUGUAUACAAAGUCCGGUGGAACUCUCUAGAAAUGCCAUUUUUAAAUUCCAGGGCUCUCAGGCUGACUCACAAUGGUCAUCGGCGGGCUGGUUAUAGAGUAGAUGGAGGCUGUGUCCCCAAGCAGCAGGGCUGGACAUGAGGAAAAGCAAUACACCUUAUUAGAGGGGCUUCCAAGAAAUGAUUGUGAUGGCAGUAGCUUUAUUUUGCUCACUUGCAAGAGCAACAACAAAAUGAUGCCACAGACGAAAACUGUCACGUCCCACCCACGCCAUCUGUCCUGUGCUGUGCACCCACAGCUCCCCUCGUUCUACAAAUUAAUCUUUCGCACAUUUUUUAACAAAAAAGUGUUAAUGUUAGAAAAGAAGGGAAAAAAAAACAAGGAAAACAGAAAGGGCUGUGUAGAAAAUAAAUUAAAUUUAAAUUUGAUAGCAGUUAUGACUUUUUUUAUUGACUAUGCGAGCAAACAGUCACUUCAAAUUGGUGCCACUGGCAUAUUAUUAAAACUACAGGGCAUCCUUAAUGAUCUCUGACAAUGGUCGUGUGCGUGUUUUUUUUAAAUAUAGCAUGCACAUUUUGUCCAAUUUGGGCUCUUUUUUCCUGUUGCUUUUGUCCUCUUUCCGAGUGGGUAUUAUUCAUGAACUGAGUCUUUAUUAUCUGUUUGGCCAUCUGCAUAGCAUUGGCCAUAGUCCCCUGUAUUGUAAUUUUGAGUGAAAAUAAGGACUGUUGGAGAUUGCAAUACUAAAAAUAAUAAUAAUAAUAUGCUUUAAGAAUUCAAAAAUAAAAGAACUAGAGGAAAAAUAUUUGCAAUGGGGUGAAAUUUGAAGACACAUAGCAUGGAGGUGGGAGAAAAACAUAAAUCCACUCAUCUCUGAGAGCAGAAUCUGAGUAUCCGCUCUGACCAAAUUAACAUUUACUUGCCUUGAUAACAGGUAGUUCAGAAAGUGAUGCUUCUUCAUGCUAGAGUGUCUUGGAAAGAAAAAAGAAAAUCUUUUUUUUGUUUCCUUACUUCUGUCCUGUUUCAGAAGUCCACACACCUCUUCGUGGACUCCAAAACAGUGGUAGACCCCCUUCAGCUGUCAAGAUUUUAUAAUUUGACUAUUCAUGUGUACAAGGUAUUAGGUGCCUGCUUUUAGUUUAUUAAUAAGGGAAGUUUUCUCUUAAAUUAAAAUAUUAGGACAUAAUUUUCAUUUAAAUUAAAAAUUCCGUAUUGGGAAAAAAAUGAAUCGACUGCAAACUUGAAUAAUUGUCUUAUUCCUAAAAUUUUGCCUGACUUCCUGAGGGGCUCUCCAUUCGCCUUUCUUCAUUUUUCUCCACUUUUGAUCUUUUCCCUUUCUUUCUGAAAUUCUCUCAAUCAGUGUUAGCGUACCAUUUUUUCCUUUCCACUGGUCAGAUUUUUCCCUACAGCCACCGGAAGUCCAUGAAAAUCAGCUGAUGGAAAGGUGAAUGUGGAUUAGCAAUGAACAGCUUCCUGACAAGGGUAAACCAGGCUACAGUAUACUUAGGACAAUAAUAUUUUGGUUUCAAGUGAACAUGUAUAAUAUCCUAUUUGUUUUUAAUCGGGAGUUCCCGUCGUGGCACAGUGGUUAACGAAUCCGACUAGGAACCAUGAGGUUGCGGGUUCGGUCCCUGGCCUUGCUCAGUGGGUUAACGAUCCUGCGUUGCCGUGAGCUGUGGUGUAGGUCGCAGACGUGGCUAGGAUCCUGCGUUGCUGUGGCUCUGGCAUAGGCUGGCGGCUACAGCUCCGUGAUUAGACCCCUAGCCUGGGAACCUCCAUAUGCCGCGGGAGUGGCCCAA
rnacentral:lncRNA from 1 species